UGAUGGACAGACAGUUGAUGGAUGGACAGUGAAGAGGACCAGAGGAGGACUCACUGAGGACUGUGGAGCAGCUCCAGGCUUUGGGAGGCUUCUUGGUUCCUACUGUGUUCUGGAUCGCUCCGUCUCCUCUGGGGGAAACUUCUCCUGUGUGAACUCAUCUGGACAGCAGAGCGAUGAAGUGUCCAUCAUUGUUUCAGAUAAAGGUGUGAUCUUGGAGAUUCCUGCACUUCCUGUGAGGACAGGAAGUGAUGUCACCCUGCGUUGCAGAGAGAGGAGCGGUGACACAGCUGCUGCUUAUUUCUCUUUUAAUGGACGUCAUGUUGGAUCUGAUUUAAAAUCAGAGCUCAUCAUCACCAACAUCCAGCAGUUUCAUGAAGGUUUCUACUCGUGUGCUACUGAUAAAUCUGGAACAUCUACUCAGAGCUUUCUGAGGGUCAGAGAUCCUCUUCCUCCUACACAGAGAACUCCUCCUGUGAACUCUUAUUUCACUAAUGCUUCCUCACCUCCUCUUCAGCCUCACAACUCUAUUCUCACACCACUCAUAGCAGGUCUUCUUCCACUGGGCCUUCUGGUUCUGGUUCUGUUUUUCUACAGAAUA